rnacentral:rRNA from 1 species
UGCGUAGGCGGAAUGAUUAGUCAGUGGUGAAAGCCCUCGGCUCAACCGAGGAACUGCCAUUGAUACUGUCAUUCUUGAGUACAGUUGUAGUGGGCGGAAUGUGUCAUGUAGCGGUGAAAUGCGUAGAUAUCGGGAGGAACACCAGUGGCGAAGGCGGCCUCCUGGCCUGUCCCUGACGCUCAGGCGCGAAAGCUAGGGGAGCGAACGGGAUUAGAUACCCGAGUAGUCC